rnacentral:rRNA from 1 species
CCUACGGGAGGCAGCAGUGAGGAAUAUUGGUCAAUGGGCGAGAGCCUGAACCAGCCAAGUCGCGUGAAGGAUGACGGCCCUACGGGUUGUAAACUUCUUUUGUCAGGGAGCAAUUGGGUCCACGCGUGGGCUUAGCGAGAGUACCUGAAGAAAAAGCAUCGGCUAACCCCGUGCCAGCAGCCGCGGUAAUACGGAGGAUGCGAGCGUUAUCCGGAUUUUUUGGGUUUAAAGGGUGCGUAGGCGGAAUAUCAAGUCAGCGGUAAAAAUUCGGGUCUCAACCCCGUCGUGCCGGUGAAACUGAUGUUCUUGAGUGGGCGAGAAGGAUGCGGAAUGCGUGGGGGAGCGGUG